UUUGCCGAGAACGGAUCACGCAGCACCCGCAGGUCCGGGCGUUCAGCCACUGUGUAGCUCUUCGAAAAGUCACCAAAGGCAAUCGCGGUGGCGUCCGAGGCAAUGUCCGGCAUGUCCUCGGCAAUCACCACCGGAUAGCCCAACAGACGCGCCGGCUCACCCGCCGCCAGACCGUCCGACCACAGGAAGCGGCCAUCGGCAUCCUUCAGCUUGCGCACGGCGCCAGCAGUCUUCGAGUUCAUCACGAAGGAUCCAUUGGCGCGGUACUGCGCCCCCAGCGCGUAAACCAGGUCGAUCAGCGCAUCGCCAUCAUCAAAUCCGCCGUCUACACCGGUUGCUACAUAGCCAAGAUUGCCCCAGCUCCAGAUCGCAUUGGCCACGGUCGGAUGGGUCAGGAUACCGGUUGGCUUGUCGAUACCAUCACCAUUCACAAAGGCCGCCGCCUCGGCACGGGCAAACUUGUCGGCAAUGCGCCCCGCCAGCCAGCCUUCCACGUCAAAGGCGCUGUCAUCCAACAGCCGCUGCGACGCCUUCGGCAUCGCCGACAGCUCAUGCAGCGGGAUGGAUAUACGAUCGACCGACGGCGUGCCGGUUUCCGCGGUCGCCGUGGCCUCAUCGGCCCAACCGGCCCCCAGCUCGGUAUGGUCGAUCAUGACGUCAUAGGCCGACGCCUCGACAUUCACCACAUUGGCAAUCGCCCGGAUCGACGCGGUCGAUUUCAGCACCGAAUUGAUCGCCUCGGCGGUUUGCGGAUCCACCAGAUAGCCA
rnacentral:rRNA from 1 species